CCUACGGGUGACAGCAGUCGAGAAUUAUUCACAAUGGGGGAAACCUUGAUGGUGCGACGCCGCGUGGGGGAAUGAAGUUCUUCGGAUUGUAAACCCCUGUCAUGUGGGAGCAAAUUAAAAAGAUAGUACCCCAAGAGGAAGAGACGGCUAACUCUGUGCAAGCAGCCGCGGUAAUACAGAGGUCUCAAGCGUUGUUCGGAAUCACUGGGCGUAAAGCGUGCGUAGGCUGUUUCGUAAGUCGUGUGUGAAAGGCGCGGGCUCAACCCGCGGACGGCACAUGAUACUGCGAGACUAGAGUAAUGGAGGGGGAACCGGAAUUCUCGGUGUAGCAGUGAAAUGCGUAGAUAUCGAGAGGAACACUCGUGGCGAAGGCGGGUUCCUGGACAUUAACUGACGCUGAGGCACGAAGGCCAGGGGAGCGAAAGGGAUUAGAUACCCGUGUAGUC
rnacentral:rRNA from 1 species